rnacentral:siRNA from 1 species
AAGAUAUCUCCGGUGAAGAAUCC